GACGAACGCUGGCGGCGUGCCUAAUACAUGCAAGUAGAACGCUGAAGGAGGAGCUUGCUUCUCUGGAUGAGUUGCGAACGGGUGAGUAACGCGUAGGUAACCUGCCUGGUAGCGGGGGAUAACUAUUGGAAACGAUAGCUAAUACCGCAUAAUAGUAGAUGUUGCAUGACAUUUGCUUAAAAGGUGCAAUUGCAUCACUACCAGAUGGACCUGCGUUGUAUUAGCUAGUUGGUGAGGUAACGGCUCACCAAGGCAACGAUACAUAGCCGACCUGAGAGGGUGAGCAGCCACACUGGGACUGAGACACGGCCCAGACUCCUACGGGAGGCAGCAGUAGGGAAUCUUCGGCAAUGGACGGAAGUCUGACCGAGCAACGCCGCGUGAGUGAAGAAGGUUUUCGGAUCGUAAAGCUCUGUUGUAAGAGAAGAACGAGUGUGAGAGUGGAAAGUUCACACUGUGACGGUAUCUGACCAGAAAGGGACGGCUAACUACGUG
rnacentral:rRNA from 1 species